rnacentral:tRNA from 1 species
AAGGGUCUAGCUCAGUGGUGGAGUGCACGCCUAGCACGCAUGAGGUCCUGGGUUCAAUCCCCAGCACCUCCA